rnacentral:misc_RNA from 1 species
GGAGUACUUUGUCUCACAUUUAGCCCUUUGCUUUUAAUUUCUCAUGCAAGGUCUGCUCUCGUUCUGUUUUCAAUUUUUUUUUUCAAUCAUUUUUACCCUUCUUCGUUUUGCUUUUAAUUUUUAAACAUGCAGAAAGUAAGUUCAUAAGUAUUUCUAAUCCUAGACAAAUAGUAGUAUUUCUAUUUUGGAAACAAAAGAUUUCACAAACGUUCCACAAAU